GGGUCUAGUGGCGAACGGGUGAGUAACACGUGGGCAACCUGCCCCCGGCUCUGGGAUAACUCCAAGAAAUUGGGGCUAAUACCGGAUGUGACCGCUGGCCGCAUGGUCUGGUGGUGGAAAGGGUUUCCGGCUGGGGAUGGGCCCGCGGCCUAUCAGCUUGUUGGUGAGGUAGUGGCCUACCAAGGCGACGACGGGUAGCCGGCCUGAGAGGGUGACCGGCCACACUGGGACUGAGACACGGCCCAG
rnacentral:rRNA from 1 species